UGCUGGUCUGAGUGCAGUGGCGUUUACAACUAAACCAGUUACAGAUUUAUUUGUUCCUUCUCCACUCCCACUGCUUCACUUGACUAGCCUAAA
ensembl:misc_RNA Y_RNA Y RNA